UACGUAACUUGUAAAGUGCCUAACAUUUCAUCCAACGCUUGCAGGUUGACCAGCUACCGGAGGAGGCCGACGAGUACUCCUUCAGCCGUUGUUUGGAGGCGUACUUGUUGUGGCUUUUUGGGUGGGUGAUGUUCUGUGGUAGUCACGGACACUCGGUCGACCGGGGUCUCGUGCACUACGCCAGGAGCAUCGCCGACGCCGCGGUCGGUGAGGUGCCUCAGUGGAGUUGGGGCUCCGCGUUGCUGGCGGCUCAGUACCGUGGCCUCUGCGAGGCUUGUACCAGGACGGACCCUGGCGCGAUCUUCGGUGGGUGCCCUCUCUUCAUUUCUCUUUGGGCGGCUGAGAGGAUUGCGAUCGGCCGCCCCCUUGUGGAGCACCACCCUUACGACGCGUCGCUGUACGAGAACAGACCGGCGGUCGACUACCCAACGAUGGGUACUCUGUGGUGCCGGCGUCAGGUACGUCGCUAGUAUUUGGUAAUGUUGUCCUACUAUUGUUAACUUCAUCCUACGUCACACUGACCUUAUUGUAUUGCAGCGCCGAUGGGCUCACGUGCAGGUUAGGCGGUCGUACGCGGAGUUUGUGAUGGAGUUCGACCGCCUUCUGCCGACGGACGUAGUGUGGGAGCCCUACAGUGCCUUGCUUACCCACAGUCGGGCGCCGCUAGGCCUGUCCACACUCUGCACGAGGGACCAGGCGUACUGGAUGACUACGGUUCCGAUGGUGUUCGACAUCUGUGUCGAGCCGCACGCACCUUACCGCGUGAUGCGGCAGUUCGGCUUCCGUCAGUCCUUUCCAGUCCCGUUUCCGGCGGGCGUCACGGCUGCCGUUCACCGGUACUCGCGCAAGGGUCAGCACUCAGCUGGUCACUGGCCUGCCAAGUUGGGGCCUUUUCUCGACGACUGGUUGCUUGCUACCGAGGAGGUCGUGGACCACGCGGGAGAGUCACACACGGAGGAGGGGUAUGAGGCGUACCUACGUUGGUAUCAGCCACGCACCCGUACUAGAGUCACCUACGCUCCGACGGAGCAACAGGCCCACGCCGCGAGCGCCAGAGACCUCUACGCCAGGCACCGCGACCAGGACUUCGCUCGUGCGGUGAGUACCUUGCAUCGCACAUCGUCUCAUCAUCCUUUCUGUUGGACAAAGGCUACGAAUAUUUACGUUGUAAUUAACCGUGCAGGCCGUUGAGUGCAACAGGGUCGUCGUUGAUGCUACAACGGCGAUCCAACGGUUAGGCGCGGGGAUUGAGGUGGGGGCAGACGAGCACCUGUCGACGUACACGCGGAUACGGGACUCGAUGCGCUCGGUUCUCCGUGCGCUGACCUGUCGUGCUGCCGACGUUGCUCAGGCAGACGCAGCACCACAGGUGCGUCCCCGACCGACUGCUCCUCGUCCAGCUGCGCACGUUCCUAGGCCGACACCCCCUCCCUUCGGAGGUACGUAUAUUCAAGGUCUAUUUGUACAUCAUCAAUCAAUUGAUACUCAAUUUAUGUGUAAGCUUACAAGUGUCGCGUCGUCGAUGUGUAGGCUUCGCUCAGCCUGGGACGACGCCGGGCGCCCACUCCUGGCAGGCUGCGGGGUCAUCGUCACAGGCAGGUGUGUCGGCCUCGCUGUCUACACAGUUUUGGCAGGACGCCGGGAGUUCGUCACAGCCGGGCGGCACGUCUGUUGCGUCGGCCUCGCUGGCUGCGCAGUUCUGGCAGGACGCCGGGACUUCGUCACAGCCGCCCGGCACGUCUUGGCAGGGUCCUACCGGGACUUCGUCCGAGCACGGGUGGGCUUCCGCCACGCACUUCGACCUUAGUGACUUCGACUUCCCGGACAUUAUCGGUCCCUCACAGCUUGGAGGCGCACCGCCGGUGCACACGCAGGAGCAGUCGCCCUCCACCCCACUCCCAGACCCUCGCGCUACCCGUGCUGUCCCACCGGAUCGCUUCACGUACUCCCAGGACCACGUGCGAGCACAGGCCCGGAGGACCAAGCGGGGUCGCGGCGCGAGUCACGGCCAGUAGAGCAGACAUCUCUUUAUUUUUCUUUACAUUCUUGUACUAUAUGGUUGUAAACUGAAUAUGUUGUUGUUUAUAUUCGGGACUCGCAUUCC